GGCAUACCUCUCUCGACUCUUCUACUUCCAACCAACCAAGAUAUAUGACUGUCUGCAACACCAAUUUCAAAUUCUCUCCAUGUCUCUGGCUGGGGAACCACAGGUUUCCUGCUAUGUGUCAACCCAACUAUAGAAGUUUAAUGGUCAUAUUUCAGACAGAAAACACUUUGAAGAUCUACCAGCAAACACAUCUGAGAAACCAUUUCCAGCCUGCCAGAACUGCUGCUUCCUGCUGUGCCUUCCAUGUCAGCCAUCCAUUUCGGCAGCACUCUAUUUUUUAAUACAGACUUAUUUGUCACUCUGAAAUUGCAUGGAGUCUACUGGGAUGGAACCGGCAGUCUCCUUCACAAAAAAUGAAUUUAUAUUUCUCUCCAGCAAAGAGAACUGUGGCAUUUGAGUUCCUGCAAGCAAAGAAUUAACAUAUCCGGAAGAGAGUUUCUAUGCUGUUCUAGUUUACCUCUUGAAGAGGAUAUUUUAGCACAGCAUGAAUACGACAGAUAUUUAUAUACCCGUUUUCAACAAAGGUUCA